CUUGGUAGAUAUGGAUUGACACCUGUCCUCAGAAAACAUGAUACACACUGACACAGAGCAGAAUAGAGACUGUUCCCCCUACAUAGGGUCACUUGGCAGAUAUGGAUUGACACCUGUCCUCAGAGACCAUGAUACACACUGACACAGAGCAGAAUAGGGACAGAUAUGGAUUGACGCCUGUCCUCAGAGCCCCUGAUACACACUGACACAGAGUAGAAUAGAGACUGUUCUCCUACAUAGGAUCACUUGGCAGAUAUGGAUUGACACCUGUCCUAAGGAUCCCUGAUACACACCGACACAGAGCAGAAUAGGGACUGUUCCCCCUACAUAAGGUCACUUGGCAGAUAUGGAUUGACACCUAUCCUAACGAUCCCUGAUACACACUGACACAGAGCAGAAUACGGACUGUUCCCCCUACAUAGGGUCUCUUGGCAGAUAUGGAUUGACACCUGUCCUCAGAGAUCAUGUCAGUACACAGAGCAGAAUAGAGACUGUUUCCCCUAUAUAGGGUCACUUGGCAGAUAUGGAUUGACACCUGUCCUAAGGAUCCC